UGUAUCAUAUAUAUGAUACAUACCCAUUGUAUUAGUCUGUUCUCAUGCUGCUGAUAAAGGACAUACCCAAGACUGGGUAAUUUAUAAAGAAAAAAAGGUUUAAUGGACUUACAGCUCUACAUGACUGGGGAGGCCUCACGAGCAUGGCAGAAGGUGAAAGCCAUGUCAAUCCCCACAUGCUGAAAAAUGUCAGCAUGCUGAGGACUGACUGCCACAGGCACUGGCAAACUCAGGUGGUGUUACAGAAUCGGCAGGCACGGAUGCUUGCUGUGCCAUAACAGCCCAAUACAGCAGGGAUGGCACCCUGGUCAUCUGCCACAUCAGCUGUGCCUCCAGUGCCCACGGGGUCUGCCCCAAGCUUGUCUCCCACAGUCCUGUCGCCUCCUGAUCACACACCAGUGGUGCUUCUUGCUCCACCCUGACUACAGCAAAUGCUCCUUCCAAGAUGGUCACUUGCAACUCAAACCACCAGAACAUCGGAAUGUCAGGCUCUGUGUGAGAGAGUUUGAAGGUUUAAAGGGAGUGGUUCUCAAAGAGGCAUCCCACACCAGUAACAUCAGCAUUACCGGAACGUGUCAGACAUGCAGAUUCUCAGGCUCCUGCUGCAUCAAAGCGCUGGGAGUGGAGAACUGUUAUCUGAAGUUUAACAAGCUCUGAAGGUGAUUCUGAUGCACACUUAAGUUUGAGAACUACUGAGAGCAGUCUCUGGUGUUUCCCAUAGAAAUUUGCACUUAAAGAUAGCAACUUAGAAACUUUUCUGAAAAUUUAAAUGGUUUUAAUAGAAAGAGGAAGGGAGGAAGGAAAGAAGGAAGGAAGGAAGGGAGGGAGGGAAC
rnacentral:lncRNA from 1 species